rnacentral:rRNA from 1 species
UACGUAGGUGGCAAGCGUUGUCCGGAUUUACUGGGCGUAAAGAGCGCGCAGGCGGUCGUUCAAGUCGAGUGUGAAAGCCCCCGGCUCAACUGGGGAGGGUCACUCGAUACUGAUCGACUCGAAGGCAGAAGAGGGAAGCGGAAUUCCCGGUGUAGUGGUGAAAUGCGUAGAUAUCGGGAGGAACACCAGUGGCGAAGGCGGCUUUCUGGACCAAUACUGACGCUGAGACGCGAAAGCGUGGGGAGCAAACAGG